rnacentral:rRNA from 1 species
CCCCCGUAACCAUAGUGUAGUUUUGAGGUUUCGCCCUUAGUGCGAACUUACGCAUAAACACUCCGCUUGGGAGUACGGUCGCAAGCUAAACUCAAAGGAAUGACGGGACCGCACAACGUUGAGCAUGUGGUUUAUUCGAAGCAACGCGAAGAACCUUCCACUCUUGACAUCCCCUGACGGUACAGAGAUGUACCUUCCCUCGGGGCAGGGUGACAGGUGGUGCAUGGUUGUCGUCAGCUCGUGUCGUGAGAUUUGGGUUAAGUCCCGCAACGAGCGCAACCCUUGUCCUUAGUUCCAGCAUUUGGUUGGGCACUCUAGGGAGACUGCCGGUGACAAACCGGAGGAAGGUGGGGAUGACGUCAAAUCAUCAUGCCCCUUAUGAGUUGGGCUACACACGUGCUACAAUGGACGGUACAAAGGGCAGCGAAGCCGCGAGGUGGAGCCAAUCCCAGAAAGCCGUUCUCAGUUCGGAUGCAGGCUGCAACUCGCCUGCAUGAAGUCGGAAUCGCUAGUAAUCGCAGGUCAGCAUACUGCGGUGAAUACGUUCCCGGGUCUUGUACACACCGCCCGUCACACCACGAGAGUUUGCAACACCCGAAGUCGGUGAGGUAAGCCGUAAGCACCCAG